AUGUCCGGCUCCGACCUGCAAGGCUGGUGGAUGCCUUCCUCCGUCACGGAAGAAGACGUGCUAAAGCUGAGAGACGCCCGGUAUCUAACCGGCGAAAUUUCGCACAGGCUGCCUGCCCAAGGGCAGGUUAUUCCCACACCCAAGCCUGGUGAGAGUGUGGUGUUCGUGUCUCACUUCCUUCGGGGGUUAGGCUUCCCGACGGACCCCUUCGUGAGAGGGCUCAUGUUUUAUUAUGGGCUGGAAUUUCAUGACUUGGAUCCAGAGUCCAUCCUCCACAUCUCAUCGUUCAUUGUCGUAUGUGAAGCCUUCCUCCGCAUUACCCCUCACUUUGGGUUGUGGCUCAAGACCUUCAAAGUGGAGCCGAAGAUGAUCAAGGGGCAUCAGGCAGAGUGCGGAGGGGCUAUUAUAAGCAAGAAUGCUGAUGCUCCAUGGCCCGAGGGCUCUUUUCAAGAGGAGCUCAAUUUAUGGCAACAGGAGUGGUUUUAUAUCACCGCUCCUAGGGGCACCAAAUGGGCGGCGCCACCUGCCUUUCGCUCGGGUCCUCCACCGCGGCUGGCGUCAUGGGUCAAUAAAGGGCUCGACUGGGGGCCGUCCAAGGACGUGCCCUUGUUGCAGGGCCAUAUUGGAGACCUCUGA
rnacentral:rRNA from 1 species